rnacentral:rRNA from 1 species
UACGUAGGGUGCGAGCGUUAAUCGGAAUUACUGGGCGUAAAGCGUGCGCAGGCGGUUUUGUAAGGCAGAUGUGAAAUCCCCGGGCUUAACCUGGGAAUGGCAUUUGGGACUGCAAGGCUGGAGUUUGGCAGAGGAGACUGGAAUUCCUGGUGUAGCAGUGAAAUGCGUAGAUAUCAGGAGGAACACCGAUGGCGAAGGCAGGUCUCUGGGCUGAAACUGACGCUGAGGAGCGAAAGCAUGGGGAGCGAACAGG